CUUUUAUUGAUAAUAGUUGCAUAGACAAACCUUUAUUAAACAGAUCAAAACUACAUUUAAAUCGUGAAGGUGAUAAAGCCCUAGGAGGUGCUUUCUGCACCUACUUGAAGUCUGAUAGAAUUGGAAACACCAACAUGGCUUCAAGUCGUAAUGACAGCCAUUUUUUUCGCCAAAGUCAUGGGCACCAGAAAGACUGGACAAUGUAUCUGGCCCAUGUAAAGCAAGUGAUGAAACAGAAAGCAGAUUAGAUAUAACAAGGGGCAAUGUGAGCAGCGAUUUUAUGAGAACCCUUAGCUCAAUCCCGAAUGAAAGAGGUUUUAAAAUGGCUUUUCUGAAUAUUGUUAGUUUACCUAAAAAAAUAGAUGAAAUUAAUUUUUCAAUGUCAAAAAAGUUCAUUGAUCUGAUUGCAUUU